AUUGCCUAGGUAGCCGUACAAAGAUCCCUCUCAUGGAAGAAAAAUGUCGGGUGCUGUUCCAGUUGGAUUUCCUGCUUGAUGUCUUCUGCGGACACAGCACUUCCAAAAGUGAAUGCUGUGCCCAUCAACUGACGAAUGGAUCAAAAAAAUAUGGAUCAUCCACACAAUGGAAUAUUAUGUGACCAUGAAAAGGACGGAGUCUCUGACACAGGCCGCAACAUAAAUGGACUUUGAGAACAUCACACUUAGUGAGAGACCCAGCCACAAAGGGACACACUGGGUGUGACUCCAUUUAUAUGAAAUGUGUCGAAGAGGCCAGUCCACAGAGUCAGGAUGCGGAUUCGUGGUCGCCAGGGGCUGGGUGUGGAGAAGGAGGAAUGGGACGUGGCUUCUCUAAUGGAUAUGGAAUUUCUCUAUAGGAUGAUGACAACAUUCUGGAAUUUUCUAGAGCUGGUGGGUUUACAGCCCUGUGAAUAUACUAAAAGCCAAUGAAUUGCACA